rnacentral:lncRNA from 10 species
CCGUAAUUUGGGUUACUCGAUUACGGUUUCAUUUUAUUGAUUGAAAUCAGUGGCUCUCAACUGGGGGUGUCUUGGAGUAUCUCCCCAGGGGGCAUUUGUCCAUGUCUGGAGACAUUUUUGGGUGAGGGUGGGGAUGUUAUUGGCAUCUAUUGUCUAGAGGCUGCUAAACAUCUGCAAAGUGCAGGAAAGUGCCCCCGGCCCCAACAAAGAAUGAUCCAGUGCAAAUGCCAAUAAUACUGACAAAUAGUUCCUGACUUAAAAGAAACUGAACAAAGAGAGCAUUGGAA